rnacentral:snRNA from 1 species
GUGCUCACUUCGGCAGCACAUGUACUAAAAUCGGAAGGAUACAGAGAUGAGCGUGGGUCCUGCACAAGGAUGACACGCAAAUUCGUGAAGCGUUCCAUAUUUUU